CGGGUUGUGGCGCAGCUUGGUAGCGCACGUCGUUCGGGACGACGGGGUUCCGGGUUCAAUUCCGUCAAUUCGACCG
rnacentral:tRNA from 1 species